GAGAUGGACUGGUGCCUUCGGGAACUGUGAGACAGGUGCUGCAUGGCUGUCGUCAGCUCGUGUUGUGAAAUGUUGGGUUAAGUCCCGCAACGAGCGCAACCCUUAUCCUUUGUUGCCAGCGGUUAGGUCGGGAACUCAAAGGAGACUGCCAGUGAUAAACUGGAGGAAGGUGGGGAUGACGUCAAGUCAUCAUGGCCCUUACGACCAGGGCUACACACGUGCUACAAUGGCGCAUACAAAGAGAAGCGACCUCGC
rnacentral:rRNA from 1 species